rnacentral:lncRNA from 1 species
ACCUCUUCUUGGAUCUGCUGCAGUUGUAUAAGGACCUGUGUGAGCGGCACGAGAAGGGUGUGCUGCAGAAGCACAAGCGGGCCUGGCACAAAUACAGCCUGAUGAAGAGGCAGAUGAUGAGCGCCGCCGUGCAGAACCGUGAGCCGGAGUCUGUGGAGCAGCUAGAGUCCCACAUUGUGGAGGAGGAGAAUGCGAUUCAGACCGUGGAGCUGCGGAACUACUUCUCCCUGUACUGCCUCCACCAGGAGACGCAGCUCAUCCACUUCUACCUGCCCCUCACCUCCCGCAUCCUCCAUGCCUUCGUGAACUCCCAGAUUCAAGGGCACAAGGAUAUGAGCAAGAUGUGGAAUGACCUGAGACUCAGGUUCAGCUGCCUCUUUGUGUACCACACAGUGCCCUGACCCCACCGCAUUCCCCACCGCAUUCCCCGCCGCAGUCCCCGCCGGAGGACGGCCUGUGUCCUCACUAGCGCGAGGCUAAGGCGCUGCUCCCUGUGGCCACACUAAACCCUCCUUGCAAACGGUGUGUCCCGUGUAAUUCUCUUUGGAUGGCAGCUCCCCUUCCCGCCAGUGCUGUAGCCAGAGCAGAUGCACUCAGCCUGCGGGCCGGGAGGUCACCCAUGGACCACAGGGCAGCUGUGCCACGCUGUCCUCCACCCCGUGGCCUGCUAGCCUGGUGGAGAGGGUUGGUGGGGUUCCUCCUGACACCCAGAGCCAUGGAGGAAGGCAGGGAUCUCUCAUCUCACAGAGAUUGUGCCUAGGGG